UGUGACAACUUGUGUUUACAUGGCACUCUUAUAAGAUAAGUUAAUUUGGACGGCUGGUACGUGAGUUAGGUAGUUGCAGCUUAACUUCGCAAAUGGGGACUACGGAUACAGUUUUCAUGGAAUUCAUACCGAUAAUUUCGAAAUACGCUUUUUCUCAAUAAAGGAAGAAAAAAAUUUACCAUUUUGUAUAAAAGAGAAGUAAAUAUAUGUAUAUACGCUUAUAGAGAGCAUCACUCUCUCUUGGACCAAAGAAAAAUAUUUAAAGAUGGUUGUACUACCAAAAUAUGUCAAUGUGAAAUUUAUAAAAUACAACCAAAGUGCACUGCCGAAGACCAUAAUCAGUAAUGCACUACUCUGUGCAGCAAUCUGUGCCUAUACUUUUAAGCUCACUUACACGUUAAUGAGAAAGAACAAUAUCGGUAAAAGUUAUAGUACUAUAUUAAAUACCGACGUUGCGCCAUCACUCUCGGAAGUAGAUAGAGAAAGUUCAGGCAUUGGUGGAGAAUACGAUGACUCAAAAUUGGCUCAAGCAGAAAAGCAUUUAAUUGUGAAGCAGAUAAAAGCACAAACUUCUCAAUUGGAGCCAGGUCUUAAUAGAGAAUUCAUACAACAUUUAAUUAAACUCGCUAAAAUCAUGAUACCAAAAUUGACAUGCUAUGAAAGUGGGCUACUUAUUGUACAUUCGCUAUGCUUGGUAUCAAGAACAUUCUUAUCAAUAUAUGUUGCUGCUUUGGAAGGUGCUAUUGUUAAAUUUAUUGUUCGAAGAGAUAUUAAGCUAUUUACUUUGGUGCUCUUAAAAUGGUUUGGAAUAGCGAUACCAGCUACUUUUAUAAACUCUAUGAUACGGUUUUUGGAGAGCAAACUCUCAUUGGCAUUCAGAACUCGGUUGGUGCGACACUCGUACCGGUUGUAUUUCAAAAAUCAAAACUACUAUCGGGUAUCAAAUUUGGACGGACGAAUAGAAAACGCAGACCAUAGAUUGACAGAGGACAUAGCUGUAUUUGCCAGCUCAGUCGCACAUUUAUAUAGUAGUGUUACGAAACCAUGCUUUGACUUAAUGCUUAUUGGAUUCGCUUUAAUGAGGUCCACACAAAAAAUGAGAGCCAAUAUUUUUUCAGGUCCAACGUUAGCCGUGUCCGUGAUAUUAUUAACUGCUCACAUAAUGCGGGUAGUUUCGCCUAAAUUUGGGCAACUUGUAGCCGAAGAAGCCAAUCGAUAUGGCUAUUUACGACAAAUACACUCCAGAAUUAUUUCAAAUUCUGAAGAAAUAGCUUUUUACGGCGGGCAUAAGGUGGAACUGCAACAAUUGCGACACGCCUACAAUCGCCUUGUUCAUCAAAUGAACAAUAUUUUCAAGCAAAAGCUGUGGUUCGUUAUGUUGGAACAGUUCUUCAUGAAAUAUGUGUGGUCUGGGACUGGUAUGGUAAUGGUAUCUUUGCCGAUUUUGUCAUUUGGUGCAACUUUUCCGAAAAUCGGUCAAAACGAUUCCAAAGAAAUCGAGGUAUUUGAUUCACACGUAAGUGAGAGAACGCAGUAUCUAACCACAGCUCGAAUUUUGCUCAUUUCCGCUGCUGAUGCCAUUGAGCGGCUGAUGUCAUCAUAUAAAGAAAUUGUCGCAUUAGCUGGAUACACUCAUCGUGUGGCCGGUAUGUUGAAAGUAUUUGAAGAAACAGCGAAAGGAAUUUAUUACAAAAACGCUAUAGUUGAAAACAACGAGAUGAACGGUAUCAUAGAGUUUGAAGAUGGCAAACCAAUAGCAAAAGGUCGUAUUAUUUACACGGAUACCCCAAAUGAUAUGACAAUCUUUUUGCGAGCUGUACCAGUAGUCACGCCAAACUGCGACAUCGUUGUGCAAAGCCUAUCUCUUUGUAUUGAACAGGGCAUGCACCUUCUUAUAACUGGACCCAACGGUUGUGGAAAAUCAAGCUUGUUCCGCAUCUUAUGUGGACUGUGGCCCAUCUAUUCUGGAGAACUGCAUAUACCCCGAUUAGUUGAGGAUAAACCUUGUAUGUUCUACAUACCACAACGACCGUAUAUGUCGACAGGAAGUCUUUGCGAUCAAAUUAUAUACCCGGAUAGCCGGGAAGAUAUGAAGCGUAAGGGUAUUACAGAAAACGAACUCCGUGCAAUUUUGAAAAUGGUCUGCUUGGAACAUAUUGCGCAGCGUAAUAGUUUCAAUGUAGUUCGCGAUUGGAAAGAUAUACUGUCCGGAGGAGAGAAGCAGCGAAUGGCAAUAGCACGUCUCUUUUAUCACAGGCCAAGAUACGCCUUACUAGACGAAUGUACCAGCGCUGUUUCUAUUGAUGUGGAAAGUUCGAUAUACGAAUUGGCAAAAAACAUGGAUAUUACGUUGUUAACAAUAACGCAUAGACCAACACUAUGGUAUAUUAAUUAAAAUAAUAAUUGUUAUAUUUGAGGUGUCCAACUGGCAAAAGUCAAUUUUAAUGUGAUGAUUAAUUUUGUUUUCUUACAUGAAAUUUCAUACACACAUUUUGGAAUUUGAUGGCCAAGGAGGUUGGAGCUUCCGUAAAAUGGAACCUAACGAGCAACAAAAGUUAUAGGCGUGACGACGUGAUAUCGUAUCGAUUCAUAUAAAAUUAGCUAUCAAUAAAAUUUAAAAUCUUGCCUAUAUUUCGUGUAAAUAAAGAUUAUUAACAAAAAACGCUA